GACGAACGCUGGCGGCGUGCUUGACACAUGCAAGUCGAACGAAGUGGCGAACGGGUGAGUAAUACGUGAGUAACCUGCCCUCCUGUUUGGGAUAAGCCUUGGAAACGGGGUCUAAUACCGAAUAAAGGGGGAUGGGCUGGCGGCCUAUCAGCUUGUUGGUGGGGUGAUAGCCUACCAAGGCGGUGACGGGUAGCCGGCCUGAGCGGGUGACCUGCAACAUUGGGAAGGGGAUAGGUCCCAGAGUGCGACGGGAGGGAGGAGUGGGGGAUAUUGGACAAUGGGCGAAAGCCGGAUGCAGCGGCGCCGCGUGGGGGAUGUAGGAUUUCGGGUUGUAAACCUCUUGCGCGAUCGAAAGGGUAGGUGGAGAAGAAGCGCCGGCUAACUACGUGCCAGCAGCCGCGGUAAUAC
rnacentral:rRNA from 1 species